AGUGAACGCUGGCGGUAGGCCUAACACAUGCAAGUCGAACGGCAGCACAGGAGAGCUUGCUCUUUGGGUGGCGAGUGGCGGACGGGUGAGUAAUGUCUGGGAAACUGCCCGAUGGAGGGGGAUAACUACUGGAAACGGUAGCUAAUACCGCAUAACGUCGCGAGACCAAAGUGGGGGACCUUCGGGCCUCACGCCAUCGGAUGCGCCCAGAUGGGAUUAGCGAGUAGGUGGGGUAAUGGCUCACCUAGGCGACGAUCCCUAGCUGGUCUGAGAGGAUGACCAGCCACACUGGAACUGAGACACGGUCCAGACUCCUACGGGAAGCAGCAGUGGGGAAUAUUGCACAAUGGGCGCAAGCCUGAUGCAGCCAUGCCGCGUGUAUGAAGAAGGCCUUCGGGUUGUAAAGUACUUUCAGCGGGGAGGAAGGCGGUGAGGUUAAUAACCUCGCCGAUUGACGUUACCCGCAGAAGAAGCACCGGCUAACUCCGUGCCAGCCGCCGCCGUAA
rnacentral:rRNA from 1 species